rnacentral:lncRNA from 1 species
AACAUUUUUGACUCAUGGUGCCUCCUUGAACACUCUGCACCUUAAUUGGAUCACAAAAUGUGCAAUUGCUGCUGGGAAUUUCCUUGCUGAAUUGUACAGUUUCUUCUAAGGCCACAUCCAUGGAAGCCGCCAGCAGCAAGAUAUUCCCCAGCUUGCUGCUGAAUCUUGCCUUCUUGUUCUUGCCAUGUCUCUCUGCCGCCGUCUCG